AAAGUCGUAACAAGGUUUCCGUAGGUGAACCUGCGGAAGGAUCAUUAUUGAUUUUCAAGGGAUGUUGCUGGCUCCUCCGGGGGCAUGUGCACUCCUAACUAAAACCAAUAUCCACCUGUGCACCCUCAGUAGGCAAGAGAAGGCCUAGCAAGGCCCUUUUUUUGUCUAUGUUUCCAUCACAAACGCUUGAUCUAUUUGAAUGCUAACACAACAAAUAAUAUUUGUAACACAACUUUCAACAAUGGAUCUCUUGGUUCUC
rnacentral:misc_RNA from 1 species